rnacentral:rRNA from 2 species
AAGGCGAGGCCGAAAGGCGUAGUCGAUGGGAAACGGGUUAAUAUUCCCGUACUUGGUGUUACUGCGAAGGGGGGACGGAGAAGGCUAUGUUGGCCGGGCGACGGUUGUCCCGGUUUAAGCGUGUAGGCUGGUUUUCCAGGCAAAUCCGGAAAAUCAAGGCUGAGGCGUAACGACGAGGCACUACGGUGCUGAAGCAACAAAUGCCCUGCUUCCAGGAAAAGCCUCUAAGCAUCAGGUAACAUCAAAUCGUACCCCAAACCGACACAGGUGGUCAGGUAGAGAAUACCAAGGCGCUUGA